AUUGAACGCUGGCGGCAUGCUUUACACAUGCAAGUCGAACGGUAACAGGCCGCAAGGUGCUGACGAGUGGCGAACGGGUGAGUAAUGCAUCGGAACGUGCCCAGUCGUGGGGGAUAACUGCUCGAAAGAGCAGCUAAUACCGCAUACGAUCUAUGGAUGAAAGCGGGGGACCGUAAGGCCUCGCGCGAUUGGAGCGGCCGAUGUCAGAUUAGGUAGUUGGUGAGGGAAAGGCUCACCAAGCCAACGAUCUGUAGCUGGUCUGAGAGGACGACCAGCCACACUGGGACUGGGACACGGCCCAGACUCCUACGGGAGGCAGCAGUGGGGAAUUUUGGACAAUGGGGGCAACCCUGAUCCAGCAAUGCCGCGUGCAGGAAGAAGGCCUUCGGGUUGUAAACUGCUUUUGUACGGAACGAAACGGUCUGGGUUAAUACCCUGGGCUAAUGACGGUACCGUAAGAAUAAGCACCGGCUAACUACGUGCCAGCCGCCGCCGUAAUAC
rnacentral:rRNA from 1 species